GACGAACGCUGGCGGCGUGCCUAACACAUGCAAGUCGAGCGGUAACAGGUGUAGCAAUACAUGCUGACGAGCGGCGGACGGGGUGAGUAACGCUUGGGAAUCUGCCUAUUAGUGGGGGGACAACCCGGGGAAACUCGGGCUAAUACCGCAUACGCUCUACGGAGGAAAGCCGGGGGACCGCAAGGCCUGGCGCUAAUAGAUGAGCCCAAGUCGGACUAGCUAGUUGGUAGGGGUAAUGGCCACCAAGGCGACGAUCCGUAACUGGUCUGAGAGGACGACCAGUCACACCGGAACUGAGACACGGUCCGGACUCCUACGGGAGGC
rnacentral:rRNA from 1 species